UACAUUUUUUAAUUGAAAAAUGUAUUUGUCAAUUUGUAGUUGGUCUUAAAUGCCCUAGAAACACCUGGUUGAAACGAAUAUUUGCCUGACGUUCUCCUCUGUUGGAUUUAGAAUUCUGGUGUUACAUGGUGCCCUGGACAGAGUGGGGAGAAGGAACAUCAGCGGGGGAAAAUGCCUUUCUUCAGACCCCCAGAAAUAUCCUGAAGUGGGAACGCCAUCUCAGUGGCUAUGGGCACACAAUGGAACACUACUCAGCCAUAAGAAGAAUAAAAUAAUGACAUUUGCAGCAACAUCGAUGGACCUAGAGAGGAUCAUACUAAGUGAAUGGAAAGAGAGAAGAGGAAACAAUUGCCCAGUGUGUAAGAGAGCCUGAUAAAGCAGAACUUCAACUCCAUUCUUAGCCAGAGAAGUUGACUGCUGCAUCUAGGAGGACACAGCCAGAUGCUUGGGGCAGAUCUCCUCUCUCCAGGAGUCUCUCCAGUGUCUCUCGUCACUAUGGAAACGUAAGGUGAGCAGACAUUCAUUGUCCCAGAGCAGAGAGCAGCAAACCUUCAUCUGGUUUGAUAUGGUCUGCUCUUCCCAAUCUCCCCUUGAUGGGAAGAGAUGGUGGCUAUAGGUGUGAAUUUGCACAAAAGUCAAAAAACUUUUUGGAAGUGAAGAUCGGGCCAGUGUCCAACCUCUUCCUGUUCAGGAUCCAUGAUUAUCCACCUCACAUGAGUGAGAUGGUCUCAUCUGAGCACUGCUCUCAGAAAAGGACACCAAGUGUCCCCAAGGUGGACUCCCAUGAGAUUGUGGAAAUAUGUACUGAGAAGGAGCUUCAUCAGCUGAGUCCUGAAUGGCAUGAUGUACAAGAUCUGUCUUUUGAUGCACAUUUGAUGUAUA